rnacentral:RNase_P_RNA from 8 species
AUUCUUCACCGGAUAAUCGGUCGCCUUAGGCGACAGGAAAGUCCGAGCACCAUAUUAGUUGACUAGUUAAAUAGUUGAUUAGUUUAGUGGCAGUGGCUAACGGCCACGCUUCAUAGAAGAAAUUUUAUGGGGACGGAUACUCCGACGUAAAAUCGGAGCCCCGACUUCAUUAUUAGAUUUUAAUAGUGCGUCGGGGGUGUCACAGAAACAAUACCGCGACAUCAUCAAUUUUGGCCUAAAGCCAAAAAAGUUGAUACGCAAGGGUGAAAAGAGGUGAGGUAAAAGCUCACAGCGUACGUUGGCGACAGCGUGCGGUGAAAAACACCUGCCCGGUGCAACCUCAUUAACGGGGGCUAGAGCCCGAAGAGUAAUCUCGGGCCCAGACAGAUGAUUAUCCUCCGCCUAAGCACGUAAGCUCUUGGCGGGGACAGAACUCGGCUUACAGGUGGAGAAUCCCC